GACGUAGGAGGCGAGCGUUGUCCGGAGUUACUGGGCGUAAAGCGCGCGCAGGCGGCCCUGUGCGCUGCCGGUGAAAGCUCCCGGCUUACCUGGGAGAGGUUCGGCAGGACGGCAGGGCUGGAGGGUGGGAGAGGUCGGUGGAAUUCCCGGUGUAGUGGUGAAAUGCGUCGAGAUCGGGAGGAACACCCGUGGCGAAGGCGGCCGACUGGACCACACCUGACGCUGAGGCGCGAAGGCCAGGGGAGCAAACGGG
rnacentral:rRNA from 1 species